GCCUUUAUGGCAGGCCCGUUGCCCUAGGUCUGUCAUAGUGUAGCAUGCUAGAACAACCCGAGACCCAAACCAUUGCCUGACCUCUGCCUAUAGGCCACUGGCACUGAAGUGAGUUGCACAAUA